rnacentral:lncRNA from 13 species
GCCAAGUUUAGUUAAAUUUAACACAAGUUUCCUAGAACUUAGGGAUGGCUCUUUCUAUACAAUAGAGCAUUGUGAGAAUAUAAUGAGGUAACCUGGGAACAGGAAAAGGAUCUGCAAAGUGCCAGCACUCUGCUAAGCGCGCAGCAUCCACAGCCUCCCUUGUCCUUAUUGCAGGCCUGCAAGGUGAGUACCCAGGAUCCCAUUUUACAGAUAAACAGGCUUGCCACAGGGCCCCAGAACCAAGCUCAACCUGACACCCUAUGAUUGCAAAGUCAUUACCAGCAUUCUCUGCAGAUUACUCCUGACAAGGGGCAGUUUCUUACUCCAGUAAAGCAGGAAUUAAAAAGGAAAAACAAACCACUGGACUCGUGUUUGACAUUUACCUACAUUUUCGUCAUACUGGGUGCGAGAAUUUCAGUGCCAAAAAAAUGACUGUGGAGUUUUUACACACACGCACGCACACACACACACACACACACACACACACACCCCGUCUUAGAGUUUUUUUCCUGAGGAUCCUGCAGAAUUGCUUUUCACAAAAGAGGGCUAACAGCACAGGUCGCUUUUGGAGAGCACAUUGAAUGAAUUGUCCAGUUUUGGGUGGAGGACUGUCCCACUUUCCCAGUCAUCAGUGGAAUGCUGGCUGGGUUGAUGUGGGUGUUACUCAGGGACUCUUGACAACUCCCCAGAAGAAUCUAGCAAACUCAUACGUGCCAAGUUCCAACGAAGAAGCUCACAGUCUCCUGGGGAAAAUGGACAUAAAAACAGGAAAUUACCACAUAAACUACAAGUCUUCAAAGCACUGUUCCAUCGACCCAUAACUCAGCCCAACCCUGCAACUUGAACAGGAAGAUCCCCUUGUCUGUCUCUUCCCUUCAGGUCUUCUUAAUGACAAAAGCCCAGCUCCUACGCUGCUGACUGCCCUACCCCCAACAUGCUGACCAGUCACAAGAAGGAAAACCAGUUAACAAGUGCUUGGAGAAGCUACAACAUACUUGGGCUUCCAGUCUUUAAAUGGACCAUUUUUAUCUGAACCUGGCUGUGAAGUCUUGGCUGAUAUAGGCUAGAGACAUGAAAGGAAGGUGAGUUAGGGCCUAAAAUGACAAAAUGAGGGCAGAGAAAAGUGUUGAAAAUGAAUGACUGCGGGAAGGAAAGAAAUCUUCUUCCGAGACACUCCCGUUUCUAUCUGACACCAGUGAGAUGGCGAACACGCUAACUUUGGAUCUAAGAAAGCUGAGUUCAAAUUCUGAGCCUACCCGCUCUGUAUCUAUGUGAUCUUCAACAAGCCAUUAACUCCUUCCAG